ACGAGUGCCUCGAGCGUUAUCCGGAAUCAUUGGGCGUAAAGGGUGUGUAGGCGGCGAUGUUAGUCUUGCGUAAAAUCCUUCGGCUCAACCGAGGGCUCGCGCAGGAAACGGCAUUGCUUGAGGAUGGUAGGGGUCUCUGGAACUCUAGGUGUAGCGGUGAAAUGCGUAGAGAUCGGGAGGAACACCAGAGGCGAAGGCGGCGACCUGGACAAGUACUGACACUCAACUGCGAAAGCGUGGGUAGCAAACAGGA
rnacentral:rRNA from 1 species